rnacentral:rRNA from 1 species
GAAGAGUUAAUUAAUUAAAAAAGUUAUUGUGGCAAAAUUAUUUUUAAUAAUUAAUUUGAAAUGAAAUGUUAUUCGUUUUUAAAUAUAUCUAGUUUCUUCAGAAAAAAAUUUAAUUUUAAAUUUUUUGAGAUAAUUAAUUAAUUAAUUAAUUAAUUGUAAAAAAAAUUUUAUAUUUUAAGGGAUAAGCUUUAAAUUAAAAAUUUAUAAUUUUUUUUUUAUUGGAAAUUUUAUGAUUUAAAUUAUCAAUAAAAUUUAAUUUAUUAUAAAUAAUUUCAUUUUAAUAAAAAUUUAUUUUUAAUUUAAUUUUUUAUGGGGGUAUAAAUUUAAAUAAAAAAAAUUUAGUUAUAAUGAUAAAAUUAGUAUAGGUAAUAAAAAUAAAUUUAAUUUAGUGUUUAAAUUAAGUAAUAAAAAGGAAUUCGGCAAAAAUAUAUUCACUUGUUUAACAAAAACAUGUCUUUUUGAAUUUAAUUUAAAGUCUAAUCUGCCCACUGAUUUAAUUAUUAAAGGGCUGCAGUAUAUUGACUGUACAAAGGUAGCAUAAUCAUUAGUCAUUUAAUUGAUGACUUGUAUGAAAGAUUGGAUGAAAUAUAAGCUGUCUCUUUAUUAAUUUAUAGAAUUUAAUUUUUUAAUUAAAAAGUUAAAAUGAAUUAAAAAGACGAGAAGACCCUAUAGAGUUUUAUAAAAGAUUAUAUUUUAAAAUAUAUAUAAAUAAAAAUUUUAAAUAAAAUUUUUUAUUUUAUUGGGGUGAUAAAAAAAUAUAAAAAACUUUUUGAGAUAAUUUUCAUAAAUAAGUGAAUUAUUGAUCCAAUUUUAUUGAUUAAAAGAAAUAAUUACCUUAGGGAUAACAGCGUAAUUUUUUUUUUUAGUUCGUAUAAGAAAAAAAGUUUGCGACCUCGAUGUUGGAUUAAGAUAAAAUUUAAACGCAAAAGUUUAAAAUUUUG